CAUCCCGGCUGAGAGACUGAGAAAGCCGAGCGGAGCCGAGCAAACACCGGGCACCAGCGCCAGGCCAUCCUACUCCCCCGGGACACGCCCCCGCUCCAAAGGGCACCGCCUGCUCCUGCCACCAGGUGCUUAGGAGGUCUCCAAAGAUGCCUUCUUCAGCCUUCAUCAUGGGAGACAAACCUAGAACACCGCACAUGAACUCGUGGCCCCCACACAGAGGCAACAGCCCCUGUGCUUUGUGGAGCUUCAGUCCUGGGCUUUACUAAGCAGCUCUUUUCAGGGAAACAGGAGCAUCACCCCCCCCCCAGAGACUCCUGGAUUCAUGGAUGGCUGCCCAGGGGAGCACUCUUGUGAAUGAAGUGAUGAAGGCCUGGAGGGGACAAGAAGAUACCAACAGCUGCACCGGGCUGGCAGUGGUGAGUGCUGAGGCCACUGGACAGGGAGAGAGUGGAAGCAGCUGAUGUAUGCUCUGUGCCCUAACAGGAACAGCAGCCAGAGACCCUUCCACCACAGGAGGCGAACCCCAAGCUGAGGACUGCGCUGGUCCACGUAUUUUAUACCAAGAUGAGUUUACUAACUCUUCCUGUUGUUGAUUUUAUUUUGUUUUAGACAGAGCCCAUGUAUCCCUGGAUGGACUGAUAGUCUCUCUGUGCUAGAGGCUGGCCUUAAACUUGUUGCAAUCCUCCUGCCUCAGCUGCUCAAGCAUUGUAUUUAUAGGCAUAUAUCACCACAGCCAUUUUUCAUUCUUCUAUCAUUUUUUCCGGACUGCCUUCAUCUGGUUUGGUUUUAGGUCUGGAAGGUAUUCCCUUCUGGAUUCUGCAACUUGUGUAGCUCUGCGUUUCUUUAAAAGCCUAGGAUGCCUCACUGAA